CUGAAAGCUCACCGGCAUGUUGAAGCCGUCGAUGACGGCAGGCCCAACGUGUACUUGGCCAACGUCGUGCCAGUGACAGCGUGGGCCAUCGCGUUUUCGGCAGUCGCCAGUGUUGCAGUGGCCGCGGCCAGCGCCGUUGAAGCUGCAGCCCAUGCUCCGCCGCCGUUUUGGAUCCGGGAGAAUCUUGCCGCUAGGAUCCCUACGAGCCGGAGCGCGCAGCGGUACAGGUCGCCGUCGUUGCCCACGGAGGCGCGCGCCGUCCCCGCGAAUCUCUCGGCGGCGACGAGAAGGCGGAGCGAGGAGGACGGCGGCGGCGCGGAUCUGGAGCAGCGACGCGGGAGGACAGCGGCGGCAGCGCGGAUUCUGGAGUGGAGCGGUGCGCGCGUCCUCGUGCUCCGCGUCCUCGCCCUGCCCUCCUCACCGACGGCGCUCUCCUCACCGCCUGCCCCAACGCCGAGCGGCGGCAGCAUCCUCGGGACCUGGCGAAGAAGCGGCGGCGGAAAGACGGCGGCGGCGGCGCGUCCUUGCCCCACCCUCCUCACCGACAGCGAUGGCGGCAGCGGCGCGUCCUCGCCCGCCCUCCUCACCGGCGACGGCGGCGUGGAUUGGAGCUGGACCCGGAGUCGUCGGAGUGGAAGGAGUUCUGGCUCGGGAAUCAAGGUCGGCCUCCUCUGCACGGCGCGUUCUCAUCCUUGCAUCUCUCAUCAGUGGGCCCCGCGCUCGACUUUUUGA
rnacentral:lncRNA from 1 species